rnacentral:rRNA from 1 species
UACGAAGGGGGCUAGCGUUGUUCGGAAUCACUGGGCGUAAAGGGCGCGUAGGCGGCUUUAUAAAUCGGGGGUGAAAGCCUGUGGCUCAACCACAGAAUUGCCUUCGAUACUGUAGAGCUUGAGACCGGAAGAGGUAAGUGGAACUGCGAGUGUAGAGGUGAAAUUCGUAGAUAUUCGCAAGAACACCAGUGGCGAAGGCGGCUUACUGGUCCGGUUCUGACGCUGAGGCGCGAAAGCGUGGGGAGCAAACAGG